UACGUAGGGUGCAAGCGUUGUCCGGAAUUAUUGGGCGUAAAGAGCUCGUAGGCGGUUUGUCGCGUCUGGUGUGAAAAUCCAGGGCUUAACCCUGGACCUGCAUCGGGUACGGGCAGACUAGAGUGCGGUAGGGGAGAUCGGAAUUCCUGGUGUAGCGGUGAAAUGCGUAGAUAUCGGGAAGAACACCAAAGGCGAAAGCACUCUGCUGGGCCGAAACUGACACUGAUAGACGAAAGCGUGGGUAGCAAACAGG
rnacentral:rRNA from 1 species